GUGAUGCAGAAGGAAGAGGAGGAGGACAAGGAGGAAGUGGAGCAACUCUUCUACCACCUAGCAUUAAGAAGAUUCUUCAGUCAAUUCUGUUUGCUAAUGACAAGAUGUUGAUUAUCCCAAGUCCCAGAACACUAAGAGGUCUCCUUUGUUCACAUUUCUGGUCACUGAAAAGAUAUCAACCAUUUAUGAAGUGCUGACUGUGAGCCACUAGGUGACACAGUGGAGAGAUUUUUGGAACUAGAGUUUCACCUUCAUAAAUUCAAUUCUGACCUCAGCUGUGUGAUCCUGGACCCUAUUUUUCCUCAGUUUCCUCAUCUGUAAAAUGAACUGGAGAAGGAAAUGACAAACUGCUCCAGUAUCCUUGUCAAAUAGAGAGAGUCAGACUACAACUGAACUACAACACUAUGUGUUGGGCACAGGGCUAGAGAACCAAAGACAGUGGGAAAAUCUCAUAUAUACAAAAUAUUUGCAGUGGCUAGUGAAUUGCUAAAAUAAUUCAAAGGAACAAAAGUCUGCUUUUAGUCUUUAGGCUUUUUAUAAUGCUUUAGCUUUUACUUGUUCAGUUGUUUUUUUCAUCUGUGUCCAACUCUUGGUGACCCCUGUGAAGACUGGAUUUGGCUCUCCCCUGAUUGUAACAAUGAAAUUACUUAGCUCUUUCUUUAUUGUGAAGAUUACAUUGUAAUCCCCGGUCUAUUUUUACAUUCUAAUCCCCAAAGUGUAAAUCCAGUACUUAAAAGUAGAUUUACCCAUUUUAAUCACAAAAAGGUAUGAACUGACUACAAAAAGGUAUGAACACCCAUUUCAUACAUUGAGUGGGAGGUCUGUGACCUGUGUCUGUGAUUGUAAAGGCUGACUUCUUUACUUACCCUUUCUGGAGGUGUGAACCUCCAAGAAAGGCCCAUCUCUGGAGACUCCUUUCCCCUGACUGGUGCCUUAGAAUUUCUAACUGGUUCAGAGGAAGUCAGAGCUUUUUCUCUCUCUCCUCUUUUCUCUCUUCCUUAAUAUCUUCCCUCUAUUGUAAAAAUAAACUACCAUAAUUCCAUUUACUUGAGUAAUUC
rnacentral:lncRNA from 1 species